GGAAGCAUGCGGGCUGCCGCCCACCCCGAAGCUGGGAGGAGCCAGGCCCGGCUACCUGCAUCCCGAAGCCCGGCAGUGACACCACCGUGACCCGUGCUUCCCACAUGUCUCUGAGGCGGAAAGGUGCGGAACCGAGUGGAGGGGCGUCACGGAGAGGCCUGUCUGCGUGGUACCGGGGGACCCUGAGCUCCAGCUGCAAACAUCGUGGUUGUUCCAGCAGCAGUUUUCACUCACGCGGCUUUGUCCUUUGUUCUCCAAGCUCACUCUUCGUCCCCCAGGGAGUUGAGGGUAGAGCAGUAGAGCUGCCGACCCGUUGUGAAACUCCACAGCCCCUUCUCAUGUGUCCGGGCUGCAGGUGCUGAGAGCCGAAAGCAGCACAUUCUCAGGUGAGGCAGAGCAAUGCUGGUCUCCACGCCCGAGGGCUGGGCUCUUUGUGGCAGCAACGGGCAGAAUGACCUGUACACAGCCUUCGUGAGUCGUUGGUUUUGUCCCGGCUCUGCUCAGUGCCUCUGCGGUGCUGAGCAGCGGAUGCCCAUGCCUUCUGUCCACCAGGAAAUGCCCUGGGGACCAUGAGCGCAUCGGAGUGACAGCUCCCUUGGCAUUGAUUUUUUCCCACCUCAAUUAAAAUAUGCAGUAAGGCCUUGGGUUCUCUCAGACUCUUCUGUUUCCACAAAUAGUGGCUGCUGAGGUGACUCAGAGAAUACAGGGU
rnacentral:lncRNA from 1 species